AUGGGCAGACUGGGCUGUUGGACCCUGCUGGUGCUGCCGGCCCUUCUGGUCUGGCGCGGUCCGGCGCAGGGCGCGGCGGCGGAGAAGGGUCCCCCGGCGCUGAACAUCGCAGUGCUGCUGGGUCACAGCCACGACGUGACGGAGCGUGAGCUACGAAACCUCUGGGGCCCCGAGCAGGCGUCGGGGCUGCCCCUGGACGUGAAUGUGGUAGCACUGCUGAUGAACCGCACGGACCCCAAGAGCCUCAUCACGCACGUGUGUGACCUCAUGUCAGGGGCACGCAUCCACGGCCUGGUGUUUGGGGACGACACUGACCAGGAGGCCGUGGCCCAGAUGUUGGAUUUUAUCUCCUCACAGACUUUCAUCCCCAUCCUGGGCAUCCACGGGGGUGCAUCUAUGAUUAUGGCUGACAAGGACCCGACAUCUACCUUCUUCCAGUUUGGAGCGUCCAUCCAGCAGCAAGCCACGGUCAUGCUGAAGAUCAUGCAGGAUUACGACUGGCAUGUCUUCUCCCUGGUGACCACCAUCUUCCCUGGCUACAGGGACUUCAUCAGCUUCAUCAAGACCACAGUGGACAACAGCUUUGUGGGCUGGGACAUGCAGAACGUGAUCACGCUGGACACGUCCUUCGAGGAUGCAAAGACGCAAGUCCAGCUGAAGAAGAUCCACUCCUCCGUCAUCUUGCUCUACUGUUCCAAAGACGAGGCCGUCCUCAUCCUGAGUGAGGCCCGCUCCCUCGGCCUCACCGGGUACGAUUUCUUCUGGAUCGUCCCCAGCUUGGUCUCGGGGAACACGGAGCUCAUCCCCAAAGAGUUUCCAUCUGGACUCAUUUCCGUCUCCUACGACGACUGGGACUACAGCCUGGAGGCAAGAGUGAGGGACGGCCUGGGCAUCCUGACCACUGCCGCGUCUUCCAUGCUGGAGAAGUUCUCCUACAUCCCCGAGGCCAAGGCCAGCUGCUACGGGCAGACGGAGAAGCCAGAGGCCCCGUUGCACACACUGCACCAAUUUAUGGUCAACGUGACAUGGGAUGGCAAAGACUUGUCCUUCACUGAGGAAGGCUAUCAGGUGCACCCCAGGCUGGUGGUGAUCGUGCUGAACAAGGACCGAGAAUGGGAGAAGGUGGGCAAGUGGGAGAACCAGACCCUGAGCCUGAGGCACGCCGUGUGGCCCAGGUACAAGUCCUUUUCCGACUGCGAGCCAGACGACAACCAUCUGAGCAUCGUCACCCUGGAGGAGGCCCCCUUCGUCAUCGUGGAAGACAUCGACCCGCUGACUGAGACAUGCGUGAGGAACACUGUGCCGUGUCGGAAGUUCGUCAAAAUCAACAAUUCAACCAACGAGGGCAUGAAUGUCAAAAAAUGCUGCAAGGGGUUCUGCAUCGAUAUCCUCAAGAAGCUUUCCAGAACCGUGAAGUUCACCUAUGACCUUUACCUGGUGACUAACGGGAAGCACGGCAAGAAAGUUAACAAUGUGUGGAAUGGAAUGAUUGGUGAGGUGGUCUAUCAGCGGGCAGUCAUGGCAGUGGGCUCGCUCACCAUCAACGAGGAACGUUCAGAAGUGGUGGACUUCUCUGUGCCCUUUGUGGAGACUGGAAUCAGUGUCAUGGUUUCAAGAAGCAACGGCACUGUCUCGCCUUCCGCUUUUCUCGAACCUUUCAGCGCCUCUGUCUGGGUGAUGAUGUUUGUGAUGCUGCUCAUUGUCUCCGCCAUUGCUGUUUUUGUAUUUGAAUACUUCAGUCCUGUUGGAUACAACAGAAACUUAGCCAAAGGGAAAGCACCCCACGGGCCUUCUUUUACGAUUGGAAAAGCUAUAUGGCUCCUUUGGGGCCUGGUGUUCAACAACUCCGUGCCUGUCCAGAAUCCUAAAGGGACCACCAGCAAGAUCAUGGUGUCCGUGUGGGCCUUCUUUGCCGUCAUAUUCCUGGCCAGCUACACGGCCAACCUGGCUGCUUUCAUGAUCCAGGAGGAAUUUGUGGACCAAGUGACUGGCCUCAGUGACAAAAAGUUUCAGAGACCUCACGACUACUCCCCUCCCUUUCGAUUCGGCACGGUGCCCAACGGCAGUACGGAGAGAAACAUUCGGAACAACUACCCCUACAUGCAUCAGUACAUGACCAAAUUUAAUCAGAAGGGAGUAGAGGACGCCUUGGUCAGCUUGAAAACAGGGAAACUGGACGCUUUCAUCUACGAUGCUGCGGUCUUGAAUUACAAGGCUGGGAGAGAUGAAGGCUGCAAGCUGGUGACCAUCGGGAGUGGGUACAUCUUUGCCACCACUGGCUAUGGAAUUGCCCUCCAGAAGGGCUCCCCUUGGAAGAGGCAGAUUGACCUGGCCCUGCUCCAGUUUGUGGGUGAUGGGGAGAUGGAAGAGCUGGAGACCCUGUGGCUCACGGGCAUCUGCCACAAUGAGAAGAACGAAGUGAUGAGCAGCCAGCUGGACAUCGACAACAUGGCAGGCGUGUUCUACAUGCUGGCGGCCGCCAUGGCCCUCAGCCUCCUCACCUUCAUCUGGGAGCACCUCUUCUACUGGAAGCUGCGCUUCUGCUUCACGGGCGUGUGCUCCGACCGGCCGGGCCUGCUCUUCUCCAUCAGCAGGGGCAUUUACAGCUGCAUCCACGGAGUGCACAUCGAGGAGAAGAAGAAGUCUCCAGACUUUAAUCUGACUGGAUCCCAGAGCAACAUGUUAAAACUCCUUCGAUCAGCCAAAAACAUCUCCAACAUGUCCAACAUGAACUCCUCAAGAAUGGACUCCCCCAAGAGAGGUGCCGACUUCAUCCAAAGAGGCUCCCUCAUCAUGGACAUGGUAUCAGAUAAGGGGAAUUUGAUCUAUUCAGACAACAGGUCCUUUCAGGGGAAAGACAGCAUUUUUGGGGACAACAUGAAUGAACUCCAGACCUUCGUGGCCAACAGGCACAAGGACAACCUCAACAACUACGUGUUCCAGGGACAGCACCCCCUGACGCUCAACGAGUCCAACCCGAACACGGUGGAGGUGGCCGUGAGCACAGAAUCCAAAGGGAACUCCAGGCCCCGGCAGCUCUGGAAGAAAUCGAUGGAAUCUCUACGCCAAGAUUCCCUGACCCAGAACCCGGUCUCCCAGAGGGAGGAGGGGACGGUGGAGAACAGGACCCACUCCCUGAAGAGUCCCAGGUACCUUCCGGAAGAGGUGGCCCACUCGGACAUCUCGGAAGCGUCAAGCCGGGCCCCAUGCCACCGGGAGCCUGACAACAAUAAGAACCACAAGGCCAAGGACAACUUCAAAAGGUCGAUGGCCUCCAAGUACCCCAAGGACUGCAGCGAGGUGGAGCGCUCCUACCUGAAAACCAAAGCGAGCUCCCCCAGGGACAAGAUCUACACCAUAGAUGGUGAGAAGGAGCCCAGUUUCCACCUGGACCCACCGCAGUUCGUCGAAAACAUGGCCCUGCCCGAGAACGUGGACUUCCCAGAUGCCUACCAGGACGCCAGUGACAGCUUCCGCAAGGGGGACUCCACCCUGCCCAUGAACAGGAACCCCCUGCACAACGAAGACGGGCUCCCCAGCAACGACCAGUAUAAACUCUACUCCAAGCACUUCACCUUGAAAGACAAGAGCUCCCCUCACAGCGAGGGCAGCGACCGUUACCGGCCCAACUCCACGCACUGCAGGAGCUGCCUGUCGAACCUGCCGACCUAUUCGGGCCAUUUCACCAUGCGGUCCCCCUUCAAAUGCGACGCCUGCCUGCGGAUGGGGAACCUCUACGACAUCGAUGAAGACCAGAUGCUUCAGGAGACAGGUAACCCAGCCACCCAGGAGGCGGUCUACCAGCAGGACUGGGCACAGAACAACGCCCUCCAGUUCCCAAAGAACAAGCUGAGGAUUAGCCGUCAGCAUUCCUACGACAACAUGCUCGACAAACCCAGGGAGCUAGACCUUAGCAGGCCCUCCCGGAGCAUAAGCCUCAAGGACAGGGAACGGCUUCUGGAGGGGAACUUGUACGGGAGUCUCUUUAGCGUCCCCUCAAGCAAACUCUCGGGGAACAGAGGCUCCCUGCUCCCCCAGGGUCUGGAGGUCAGCAAACGGAGCAAGUCUCUCUUGCCGGACCACACCUCCGACAACCCUUUCCUCCACUCCCAUGGGGAUGACCAGCGCUUAGUUAUUGGGAGGUGCCCCUCGGACCCUUAUAAACACUCGCUGCCGUCCCAGGCAGUGAAUGACAACUAUCUCCGAUCGUCCUUGAGGUCGACGGCAUCAUACUGUUCCAGGGACAGUAGAGGCCACGGCGAUGUGUAUAUUUCGGAGCAUGUCAUGCCUUAUGCUGCAAAUAAGAAUCAUAUGUACUCUGCCCCCAGGGUUUUAAAUUCCUGCAGCAAUAGACGCGUGUACAAGAAAAUGCCUAGUAUUGAAUCUGAUGUUUAAAACCUUCCAUUAAUGUUUUAUCUGUAGGGAAACAUACGUAAUGGCCAACGUUCCGGAGGGUAGAUGUUGGAGGUCCAAUAGUGCCCUGCAAAGAGGAAGAGGAUUUAGGAAGGUAUUUUUCUGUUGGUUCUUUUGCACAUGGCUCCAUGCCAUAGUCUUCCACUCAAGGAGUCUUGUGAGGUGUGUGCUGAGCACGGCAGAUACCAGAUAGACACUCUCUCACCCUUGGCUUCGAUGGUCUUGUUCAGAGCUGCAUAAACUCACACAUUUGUGUCCUCGAUAUCGUAAGUGUGGAUCUUCUGUCUAUGACACUGCGGCUGUUGUAGUUUAUCCCGAAGACUCCUGUGUACGUAAGUUUGCAUUUCCCCCUCCUGGUGAUGACUCAGGGUUGUAUAGUAUCUGUUACCCUUCCCUUCCCAGAGUAACCAUAAUGCGUCCAGUCCCCGAAUCGCCACGGUGGCAUUUAAUUCAGCGUGUGUCGCCAUUCCCAGUGCUGUGAAUGUGGUGGCUCACGCCAGCAGUUGUAUGUGUACUGUGAUCUGUAAGAAGGGCAGUACCAUCUGUCUGCUGAAGGCCAGCAUGGCUUUAGGGUUAUGUUCCAUAAUGUUCUGAAGUUCAGUUGGACCCUUGUCCCCUCCCCCAACCCCUUCAAAACAUGAGAAACACUCAGGCACCUGCCCUGAGCAUUCUCCAAAGUGUGGAUAAACUUCAGUGGGACAAGUGAUUUCUCUCUUCUGAAACGAUCACUCUGUUGGAGGCAAACAGCCUCACUAGCAACAGCAGAGAUGAAAAAUUCCUCAAGGCAUUUGUCAUUUCCGGGCCACCUCCAUUAUCCGAUUCUUACUCUACUCAAACCUAUGCAUAAAUAAUAUGAAAUGGCACUGAUUAUGUUAAAUGUUGGGGGAAGGGUGGGAAAUGUCUCUGCGUGGGAAGCUCUCAGCACGAUGCCUGGUACAUGCAGUGUGCCCACCCCUCCCCCCAAAUCAAACAUAGUCAUUGUGUUAUGACACUUCAUCAGACAAGUUUAAAAACUAAUUAUGAGAAAAACCACAAACAAUAUUAAACAUUUUACAGAGUAGUUUUAAUCUAGUAAUUAAUGUGUUUUAUAUACAUGAAUAUCCCUGAAAUGUUUGAGGAAAGUAGCCGCUAGUUUUGCAGAGUUCCUGGGUCUGUUUGAGUGUCCUGUUACAGAAGCCCUACACCAAUGUCAACUAGCUGACUAUUUCCUGGUUUCCUCCGUUUUUCUCUGGGUUCUUAGAGGAGGGGACAGAACCAGAACCAGCAGGUUGAAAUGUUAUCCUGUUUCUUUUUGUCGUGGUGUGUUCUGUUUUGUAGGUUGUGGUUUCCUCUGAGUGGGCAGGUGUCAGGAAUAAUUCUCUUAGAACCUGAAGAUUCAUUGAAUGGCUCCAUCUUUGGGAAAGUGCAUCUGACCUACAAUAUCCCUAUAGUGAUGAAAAGUGGCUGCCGUAAAGUUCAGGAUCAGUGGUAGGGAGGCAAUGGGUGACAAAAUCUCUUGUCUUUGAGGUUGAGGGGCAGAAGGGGCUGACAGGGUGCUGAAGAUGUACUUGAAUGCUGCUUUGUGUUUCUUGGAUGUUGCACCUUUGCUGCCUCAAAACCCAACAAUGGAGAAAUCUCCAUUGAAGGACCCAGAAUAGUCCCCUCCCCCACCCCCGCCGCAAUUUCUAAUCUUCAGCACACCCACGACUGUAGCCUUGUUUAGAACUUUCCGCCUUUGCCCUUCCACUGUGCUCUAGACCUGUACUUCCCACGUCCCACCCAGCAUCACCUCCAUUUUCUCAAAGGACUGGAGCGUCUUAACGUGAAAUGAACUGAAAAGUCUCCCCAGAAUACAGAGAGCAGUGGUGUAUCACCCAUCCAAAGAGGCUGGCUGUCUUUCUCCAGUGUCCUCAAAAUCAGAGAGCUGCCAAAGGUGGCAAAGAUCUCCAGGGAGAGAGAGAAGUACACUUGGCAUGAUCCCAUAGAUCGAAAAGCCUUCUUCUAAUGACAGUGUCAGCUCUGCUAUUAACCCCAUAGGCCUGUGGGUAUAGAAACUGAAACUAUGGCUUUGGGAAGAACCAACAGUAAUGUAGUGGGAAAAGUAUAUACUUCCUUUAAGACCCAAAGUGUUUUAAAAAUAAAUAACUAGAUUUGGGGGCUACAUAAUAAACACAUCAUGUUCCUUCCUCCACAGAUUCACUGACCCUUACUAGUAAUGAUCCCAGACCUAAGACAAUUGACCAUUAAUCUCAUGGUCGCUUUCCAAGUGAAAGUUAACUGACGCCGAACUCUUCAGCAGUAACCCAAGUCAUUUCAGUUCUUUGGAGAAAGAGUAGCAGCAAUACAGCAUCCAACAGUCAGUCACACCCACAGUAUAGGAAAGGCCAAGAAUUAAAUAGGAAACUCUGAACUAUGGAUCCAUUACAGAAAGUUCCUCGGACAUAUCUCGGCUCCGAGUCCUUAGAUGUGUGGACACUAAGGUCCCAGAAUCCCUGAACCCAAACGUGUGCCUGAGUUUCAUCCAUCAUCAUUUUCCAUUAACUCUAAAUGGUUCUCUCCACUUGAGAAGGACCCAGCUAGUCCUCAGAUAGGUAAGAGUACACACAUGCAACCAACUUAAAAUAUUCUGUGUAAGAGGAGAGUCUUUUAGGAUGCCAUUUCUACUCUGGGAAACCUUUGGCGUUCUAGAAAAUUGUUUUCAUCAUCUCCGUGCCUGCAGAUUCUUAGGCCACCUCUGGCUUUAAAGUCCUGAGAAAGGAGUCACCAGUGGGUUUGCUUUUCCACCGGUGAGGCUUCCAUGAGAGGUGCAGGCUUAUAAUCACCCUACUCAGUACCCUUCUCUCCUGUGCAAAUCUCACUGCAUUUUUAAAACCCCGAACCAUGAGCCAGCAUCUCAUGGUUUAUACCCAGUUUUCUCUUCCCUUUUCCUAAGGGGCCUGAGAAGUGUUCAUACUUGGCUUUUUCUGAUGAGAGCAUUAAAAUUCACCCAUUGCAGCAAAAUCAGUCAACUCAAUUCACGAUUAUUUUCAGGGGAGAAAAAAGAAAAUUACACCUUGUUUACAAAUGAAAUAGUUUCACUUAAAUGGGACUCUCGCCAAGGCAGUUAAUUAGUCAAAAGAUCCACGGCAGCCAUGCAGUCAGGCAUUGUUUAUUCUUUUUGAUAUGUCUACCACUGAUGUGUAUUUAAUAUUCUGCAUCCUUCUCAGGAAAUGACAAAUGCCCUGAAUUCUUUGCAAAUGGAAUUGCUAAUGAAAAAGGAAAAAAAAAAGUUGAUGUUAAUUAAAUGGUGAUUAAAAAUUUAUCUCCUUUAAACCUAAAAAGUGCAGCCUUAAUAAUCAGUUGUCAUAUAAAUAAAUACCUUGCACUCAAAUCCCUUGUGGGUUAAGACCUAAAUAAAUACUAAUUUGAGAAACCUAAAUAUCUUUCAGAAGAGCUGAAUAUAUUCGUUAACUUUAUGCACACCCUUGUACUGUUUCUUUGUGCGUAGCUGCUGUGUAUGAAUUCUUGAAAGGGGGACAUGAGUUAUUUCUGAAAUAGAGCCUGUUUGUAUCACUCGUGGCUAGAAUAGACGUAAUUGGACUUAAAGAAAAAUGACAGCCAACAACAAAAACCAAAACUGAGUAGGUGAAAGCUAAACUCAUUGGUUGGUACUUAAUAGGCGUUAAAGGUUCUGUAUAAAGGUGAUUGUUCUUCCAAAAACAGUAUUUAUUUUCACUUGAGACAAAAUUAGACCUUUCUGUAUAUCCCAUCUUCUUUUGGUAACAGGGUUGCAAAUGCUUAGUGAGAGGUUAUGUGGGGUCUCUAUUUGGCAGGUUCUCCCACUCUGCACUUGUCCUUUUCCAUUCAAGCCCUUUACCCGGUUCCGUGUGCACAUCUAAUUGUAUUGGAGGAGGUCCGCUUGCCACUUGAUGGGAGAUGAUCAUGUGCACUUAACCUGUGAAUAUAAAUGCUCGUGUACACAUGUAGAUAAUAUACAUGCCUGAUUUCCACAAUUCACACGUAAGCGUAUUCUCCAAAUAGAACUGUAUAUAAUGUAAACUUGAUGUUAAAAUUUAAAUGGUGGUAAUGGUAUUAACACACGGGAAACCCAUUCUGGUUGUUGAUGGGAUGAUAUUUAUGUCAAGCGGGUGCUAUUUAAAAAAAAAAAAAAAUCAGUUCUCGGAAGGAUAACAGAGCCCAAGUGGGAUUUGGGUGUUGGAGUUCUUGGCCAUUUCUUUUAAAAAGGGAAAAAACCUGGGGUUAGGGAUGUGGGAAGUAUUCAGCUCACUUUUGUUCUUGAAGAUAGUCCUGAUACCAACAUAUGUAUAAUCUCUGAAAACCCAUCAAAGGGCACGUGUCUUGUGUAAGUUCCUUCUCCUCCUCCUCAGCCCACACUCUGCCUGUGCCCAGAAGUACUCAGUACAGUGUCAGCUAAAGGUGCCUGCCCAGGAGGGUGUUAGAAGAGCAGAACUUAGAGAACUACCCCAAGGUUCAGGAGGAGGGGAAGGGAGAUGGGAAAAUCCAGAGAAAAUGAAGUUGCGAAGGAACAGUGGUAAUCUGCGUAAGACAGUCAGGCUGACAGUAGCAGAUCUGGGUCUGGAUCCUGAGACUUCCUGGUCCAGUUCCUAGCUUGUUCCCCUUUCCAGGUAACUCACUCCUAGGUUUCUCUCCAGAGUGCUCUCCUGAGUGCCCCUGGGAUCAGAGCCAGAGACCCCACAGGACAGACCUGGCUGUCUUUGCCUCUUGCCUUAUACAGACCCAGGCAUCCCUCUUUGAAUAUGGUUUUCCUUUAAACCACCCAGAGUCCCUGCCUCAGAGUCCUGGAGAAGAGACACCUUUUUCCAGGGACCUAUUCUCUGGAAAGAGUUAAUGACCUCAAACCAAAGAUGAAAGCUGGCAGCGAACACUGAGAUCAUGUUGUUAUAUUUCUCAUCGGUCAAGGAUGAAAAAAGGACACUGACUGGCUGAUGGGACCUGACAAUAUCCACUCUCCUUUUAGGGUCAGUCGGGAGUUGGGGAGAUACAGAGGGAAUAGAAAGUACAAACUCUUCCCCUAAGUAGUGUAUGGUCUAAAACUCCAGUUCCCUAACACAAAUGAUAACCGAAGACCCAGGAAAUGCAAAUAGAGACUGAAUGAAAAAACUGGAAAUGACAACAUUUUUGUCGGGGAAUAAAACUGUAUCUGGUUCCGCAAACAAACAGACAAUCCUUCCCUAGACUUGCUUCUAAGUCACUUUAGAGAAUAUAGUUGUUGCUCCCGGAGGUGCCCUUGACAAUGUCAACCCUCAGAGACAGUACUUAGGGAACCCGGGAGCAUCUGAUCAGGUGAACAAUUUUGCCCAUCUCCGUUUUUGCACAGGCAGGCUUGGAUCUAGUUCCACUCGUUUCUCCAACCCUUGCCAAAUCAUGCCUCCUUCCAGCUCUACUUUAUGACAUGUGCUUCAAGGAAAGGUUGGGGGAACAGUCCUCAAAGGAUUAGAAAACAGACCGUGAUGUAAAAAGACAACUUCCUGAAAGUCUUUUUUGUUUGGUUGGUUUGAGUUUUGACUUGUGAAGAAUACUUUGGAUCGUUCAGGGUAUAAAUGUAUCAGGGAAGGAGUAGAGAGAAUGCGUGUUGAAUCCCAAGUGCCUACUGUUGUGGCUGGCAAAGAGAACCCAUCAGGUGCCCAGGGAGAAAAUGGGACAAGGAAGUGGCCAAAGGAAUCAAGGUGUAUUUCAGGAAGAUGGUAGCAUGGAGAGGGAGCCUAUAUUUUUUCCUCUGUCCAUCCUAUUCUGUGCAUCACCGGCACGUUGGAUUCUCUGUAUAUCCCAAGGACAUGGCUCGAAUUGGUAUCUGCAUUUGGAAAUAUAAAUAUAUAUCUACAUUGAGUAUAGACAGUAUUCUAGGCAUGUCCUAGAAUGCAACCAUCAAAAUAAUCUUAGAAUGUAAGUGUGAUUGCUCCCAUUUUACAGGUAAGGAAACUGAGGCUCAGGUUGGUUUCAGCCUCAUCAGCCACAAGAAUUUGCUAAUAAAUCUGUAAUGUUAGGCAUAUUCUUAUAAGUGCCUGAUCUCCUCCAGGGAGGUCAGAAUAGAUGUCAGGAAAAGAGCUAUGCUGUGUUGAGGUCCCCGGGGCUCUCUCUUGAGCUGCACCCCCUGUAGUGAGGAGAUUUGUUAGUGCCCUACCCCUCGUUGUCUGGUUUGGGGUGUGUUGAGAACUCCCGGGAUUCCCACCUCUGUUCAUGGUCCCUUCUGAGACUUGAAUGCUUUCUGUGUCUCUCCCCGGUACGCUUGCACUCAGCACUUACUUUUUCGGUUCCUGGGGAGUUAUUUUCUCUACCUAGCAUGUGCCUAAUCUUAAAUAUCCUCUUCCUAAUCUCUGUUCUUUUUCUUAGUAGACAUCAGGGAUAAUUCCAUUAAACAUAUGCAAAUAAUAUGCUCUCACACUCGCGUGGGUGCACGCGCGCACACACACACACACACACACACACACACACACACAUACACACACACACACACUGCCUUGUGGCCCCUAUUAAAGCUCUCCUAAACCUAGUGGCCCAUUUUCAGAAAGGGCAUGCUCUUUGCAAGUGACUGUCCCUUCUGUUGGUUGUCUUUCCCAAGCAGACAAUGAGGUUCAGAGGUGUGAUGGGAUAGGAAAUCAAGUUUUUGCAUAAAUAAUCCAGAGCUUUUGUGGUCAGUGUGACUGAGGGUCAGCCAUUAAGGUUUUUUUUUUUUUUUUUUUUUCCGUCCCUUUCUUGGUCUGUUCUAUUUUUUCAGAUCGUCUUAGAGAUACUUUCUUGGUCAGUGACAUCAAGAUAACUAUUGAAUGCUUGUUUGGUUUGUCUCAUUCAAGAGCGUCAAAUUGGAAUAUUUCCACCAGGCUUUCGAGAAGCCCAAAAUGCAUCCUGCGUAAUGCAUCAUGUAGGUGAUGCCCCUGAGGCAGUAAUGCAUUCCUUUCUUAAACCUGCACCCCCACACACACCAUGUUCUAAGCCACACCCCUCUCUCCUGGCAUUUUACUUACCGUGAGGUGGGGCACAUUGGAGCCAUUUUAUAGAUGAGGAAACUGAGUGAGGUUUGAAGGAAUGUUUUUUUCUGGGAGGUUCUGUGAAUCAGUCCUUCUGGAGGGUCAUUUAAGCUAUUGUUGUCCUAGUCCCUGAGAAAUUCUCUAGCCCUUUCCAUCUUUCAAGCUGGCAGUAAAAAGUGUCUUAAGACAGAAGGGUUAUCAUUAUUCAGUAGGUAGUUGAGAUCCUGUUGUGGGGUCUACAAGUGCAUGAAAACACUCUCCCAGGGAUGUUGAGCUUUGCAGAAACUGGAACACUCAAAAGAACAAUUUGGCCAGUGGCAUCUCUUCACUGGGGCUGUAUUUCAAAGCACACAACACUCCAGGGGAGCAAGAACUAAAUUGUUGAAAACGGAGUCAUUUCUCAGAUUAAUGUCCUCCAAUCGGGUGUCAGCGGCAUUUGAAAGCAAACAAGACAACACUAAGACGAUCACUCAUGAAUCCCUCUUAUGUACCUCAUUCACAAAACAGUAAGUUUUCAUUUUUGCAAUUCUGAGAACAUUCGUCAUUAGCAGUAGCCCUGGGUCAUAACCUCUUCCAGUUAAUUCUCUCUUACACCUUUGGGAAGGAUAUAAGAUGAGCCUUCAAAAGGAUAUUAAUAUAACACGUAGCCAAUACCACAGCUGCCUUUUAAAUUAAUAAGGUUAAUUGUUCUCCAGCAAACAUAAGUUUGUCUUUGGCAUUUUAAAUGCUUCUCAUUGAUCUGACAUUUUGCUGUUUCAAGCUUUUAAAGGGCUCAAAUCAAAGACUAUUGAUAGUUGAGCAAAUAGUGAAGGUCCAGAAAUAUAAAAACAUCGUCAGGUUUUCCAUGAAAAACAAUCAUAGCCUUUUGAAUUCGAUUGAGGUUUUUACAUUAGCCAUCUAAGGCUUACUGAAUCAUUUCUCUUCUCAGUUAAGCUAGUUCAAAUAAAUGAACAGUAUUGACGUUUCAAACCUUUUUUUUUUUUUAAGUCUUUAGUUUAUUAGGUUUGCAGACGCAGCUCUGGGGCCAUGACCACUAAGUAAAUGUUCCAGGUUAGAAAUUAGAGAUUCGGAUGACUAUUGGGGGUCAAAUUCAGGUGAUCAUCUUUGAAAAAUCCCGAUGGAUUUGGGAAGAUGAAAGUGGCUCUUGUUUCUCAAAUUUUUCCCUAGGAAAAGAUGGCAAUUACCUAUUUUUUUUUCCAAUUAAGAGAUAAGGUCAAGAAUAACAUUUUCAUAGAAAAUUCAGAAAAGCUACUUGAUGCAACUAAUUACAUGGCUCGAUGUGGCUCAGAUGCGUUCCAAGCCCGAGGGUCCCCAAAGAUUUCUUUAUCAGUUAUUUUUAACUAUGAAUCUUAAUCUUGUUCAUUCCCUUGCUAAAACAGAUUUAAAAGCAUAGACUUUCUGAAUUAUUUAGUCCAGAUAAUUCAAUGCAAUUUAUCACAAUAGAAUGUUUGUGCAUAUGUUUACAUAUAGUAUAUAUAUUCCAAGCUGAAUAUUCAGAAAGAAUCAGGUGAGUUCAUUGGUGGCUUUGAAUAAGAAACAGAUCCUAAAAGAUCGUAAACAAUGGCCUUCUCAGACAGAAACAGAGGGUAAACUAUUCAUCUUUUCACUUGUGUUCGAAGACGCGUCGCAUAACACACAAGCUGGUCAUUACCAACAAGAAAGUAAUUGCAUGAAGCAGCUUUAGAGGUCCAUGUCUGAGUUCAUUUUUAACUCAACGUGGAUGGGAUUGAACUUCGUAUGCAGAGGGUUUCCGUUCACAGCUACAUUCAAACACAGUCGAAAACCCACAUCAGAACUGGCUUGAUCUCUUGUAUGGUGGAGCCCAAAGCAAGCUGUGUUCUCUACUCAGUGGUUUUCAUUUGGGAAUAAGAUGUUCACUUACCAACCGCAACAGUUUAUACCUGUCAUGUUUUAAUCCACUGCAUGAGGAAGUGCUAAUAACUGUAUUAAAUAUUUCCAAGCAUAGCUACAAAAUUACACGUUUGCUUAACACCUUUCUAUGAUAGAGGAAGUAUAUACUAUGGUUGUCUUCUUGUAGUAUGUCUUUUCUUUUUGUUCAACGUGUUAUCAACUGUUUUAAGGAAUGGGGUUUGAAAUGUGUGUGCAAACUGAUAUGUACAUAACUCCCGAGGCAACAAAAGUGCCCAGUCAUACGGUGUAAAAAUGUAAAUACAGGAAAAUUUCAUUUUUCUAAUAAAGAUAAUUUCUGCCAAUUGAUAUGAAAAUGAGAAA